CCUUCUGUGCCGCAGUUAACACAAUAAGUACUCCGCCUGGGAAGUACGAUCGCAAGAUUAAAACUCAAAGGAAUUGACGGGGGCCCGCACAAGCAGCGGAGCAUGUGGUUUAAUUCGAAGCAACGCGAAGAACCUUACCUGGACUUGACAUCCCCUGAAUAGUGCAGAGAUGCAUGAAGCCCUUCGGGGCAGGGAGACAGGUGGUGCAUGGUUGUCGUCAGCUCGUGUCGUGAGAUGUUAGGUUAAGUCCUGCAACGAGCGCAACCCCUAUCAUUAGUUGCUACCAUUAAGUUGAGCACUCUAGUGAGACUGCCCGGGUUAACCGGGAGGAAGGUGGGGAUGACGUCAAAUCAUCAUGCCCCUUAUGUCCAGGGCUACACACGUGCUACAAUGGUAGGUACAGAGAGAUGCAAGACCGCGAGGUGGAGC
rnacentral:rRNA from 1 species